UGGCAGGUGAGUCUCAUACAGUAUUUUUGCUGUAGUUUAGGGAUAAAUCUAAAUCACGUUGUAAUAUUUUUUGCUGCAGACAUAUAAGAAAAAAAAUGUAUAGGGGUGGCAACAUUAAAGGGGAAAUGUAUUAGGCCCUGCCAACGGCAAGGUCUACUAGGCAUACUGUCAGUGUGACUGGUAUAAUAUAUUAAAAUAUGGAGUAUUUUAAUGCAUUAUAUCAGCAAUCAAGACAUCAGAAGUUCAAGUCCCCUGGUGGGACUAAAAUGUUUCCAAAACCAGGAGGCAUAGCAUAAUAAGAAGAGGGUUGUCAAAAGCUGGGCACAACUUCUGGGUAGUGAAAUGGCAUAUCUGUUUUCAUUUGCAAUCAUCAGCUAUUAAUUUCUGCAAAAUAUUUGUGUGGUCAAAAUGCUCAUUCCACCACUUUUGUCAGCCGAUACUGUAUAAAUCACCAAGCUAGACUUCAAAUGCACAUGGCACUCUCCCUUCUGAAUCCUGCAAUAUUCUACCACAUACCUAGAUAAAUUCCUCGAGGGAUAAAUCGCUAGAUAAAUUCCUUGGGUUUUUUAGGGGUAUUUCUUAGUAACAUCUAUAAGAUGCUCAUAUAGGAUAUUUCCAUAUACUGCAGAAUCAGGGUAAGGCUAC